UACGUAGGGUGCAAGCGUUGUCCGGAAUUAUUGGGCGUAAAGAGCUCGUAGGCGGCUUGUCACGUCGGAUGUGAAAUCCCGAGGCUCAACCUCGGGCCUGCAUUCGAUACGGGCUAGCUAGAGUACUGCAGGGGAGACUGGAAUUCCUGGUGUAGCGGUGAAAUGCGCAGAUAUCAGGAGGAACACCGGUGGCGAAGGCGGGUCUCUGGGCAGUAACUGACGCUGAGGAGCGAAAGCGUGGGGAGCGAACAGG
rnacentral:rRNA from 1 species